rnacentral:ncRNA from 2 species
GCGGCGAAGCGGGGGUACCGCGGCCCAACGGCCACGGUUGAGACAGACCCUUCGAACCUGACGCGGUUGAGACCGCCGUAGGGAGCUUCGCCGGCCACGCC